GUCUAUGGCCAUGCCACCCUGAACAAGCCCGAUGUCUGAUCUCAAAAGCUAAGCAGGGUUGGGCUUGGUUAGUACUUGGAUGGGAGACCACCUAGGAAGACCACGUACUGUAGGCA
rnacentral:rRNA from 1 species